rnacentral:rRNA from 1 species
GUAGGUGGCAAGCGUUGUCCGGGAAUUAUUGGGCGUAAAGCGCGCGCAGGCGGUUCUUUAAGUCUGAUGUGAAAGCCCACGGGCUCAACCGUGGAGGGUCAUUGGAAACUGGAGAACUUGAGUACAGAAGAGGAAAGCGGAAUUCCACGUGUAGCGGUGAAAUGCGUAGAGAUGUGGAGGAACACCAGUGGCGAAGGCGGCUUUCUGGUCUGUAACUGACGCUGAGGCGCGAAAGCGUGGGGAGCAAACAGGAUUAGAUACCCUGGUAGUCCACGCCGUAAACGAUGAGUGCUAAGUGUUAGGGGGUUUCCGCCCCUUAGUGCUGCAGCUAACGCACUAAGCACUCCGCCUGGGGAGUACGGCCGCAAAGGCUG